GUGGGGUAGUAGCCUACCAAGGCGACGACGGGUAGCCGGCCUGAGAGGGUGACCGGCCACACUGGGACUGAGACACGGCCCAGACUCCUACGGGAGGCAGCAGUGGGGAAUAUUGCGCAAUGGGCGGAAGCCUGACGCAGCGACGCCGCGUGGGGGAUGACGGCCUUCGGGUUGUAAACCUCCUUCAGCAGGGACGAAGCCACGAGGUGACGGUACCUGCAGAAGAAGCACCGGCCAACUACGUGCCAGCAGCCGCGGUAAUACGUAGGGUGCAAGCGUUGUCCGGAAUUAUUGGGCGUAAAGAGCCCGUAGGCGGUUUGUCGCGUCGGCUGUGAAAACCCGGAGCUCAACUCCGGGCCUGCAGUCGAUACGGGCAGACUCGAGUGUUGCAGGGGAGACUGGAAUUCCUGGUGUAGCGGUGAAAUGCGCAGAUAUCAGGAGGAACACCGGUGGCGAAGGCGGGUCUCUGGGCAACAACUGACGCUGAGGAGCGAAAGCGUGGGGAGCGAACAGGAUUAGAUACCCUGGUAGUCCACGCCGUAAACGUUGGGCGCUAGGUGUGGGGGCCAUUCCACGGUCUCCGUGCCGCAGCUAACGCAUUAAGCG
rnacentral:rRNA from 1 species